AGAGUUUGAUCCUGGCUCAGGAUGAACGCUGGCGGCGUGCUUUAUGCAUGCAAGUCGAACGAGAAGGGGCGGACUUCGGUCCGGCCUGGAGAGUGGCGAACGGGUGAGUAACACGUGAGUGACCUGCCCCGAGGUGGGGGACAACCGUGGGAAACCACGGCUAAUACCCCGUAGUCCUGUGCGCAUUGGUCGCGUACAGGUAUAGCUCCGGCGCCUCGGGAGGGGCUCGCGGUCGAUUAGCUAGUUGGUGGGGUAACGGCCUACCAAGGCGACGAUCGAUAGCUGGUCUGAGAGGACGAUCAGCCACACUGGGACUGAGAUACGGCCCAGACUCCUACGGGGGGCAGCAGCAAGGAAUAUUGGACAAUGGGCGCAAGCCUGAUCCAGCAACGCCGCGUGGAGGAAGAAGGCUUCGGUUGUAAACUCCUUUUGUGAGGGAUGAGACAAGGACAGUACCUCACGAAUAAGUCACGGCUAACUAGGUGCCAGCAGCCGCGGUAACACCUAGGUGACAAGCGUUAUCCGGAUUUACUGGGCGUAAAGGGCUCGAAGGCGGCAGCUCAAGUCCGGCGUGAAAUCUCCUGGCUUAACCAGGAGGGGUCGUCGGAUACUGUGCUGCUAGAGGCAGUGAGAGGGGUGCGGAAUUCUCGGUGGAGUGGUGGAAUACGUAGAUAUCGAGAGGAACACCAGUGGCGAAAGCGGCGCCCUGGCACUGACCUGACGUUCAUGAGCGAAAGCGUGGGGAGCGAACGGGAUUAGAUACCCCGGUAGUCCACGCUGUAAACGAUGAGUACUAGGUGUAGGCGACAACCGUGGUCUGUGCCGAAGCUAACGCGAUAAGUACUCCGCCUGGGGACUACGGCCGCAAGGCUAAAACUCAAAGGAAUUGACGGGGACCCCCACAAGCAGCGGAGCGUGUUGUUUAAUUCGAUGUAACGCGAAGAACCUUACCUGGGUUUGACAUGUGCGUAGUAGUGAAGCGAAAGCCGAACGACCCUUCGGGGAGCGUACACAGGUGUUGCAUGGCUGUCGUCAGCUCGUG
rnacentral:rRNA from 1 species